AACGAACGCUGGCGGCAGGCUUAACACAUGCAAGUCGAGCGCCCCGCAAGGGGAGCGGCAGACGGGUGAGUAACGCGUGGGAACGUACCCUUUGCUACGGAAUAGCUCCGGGAAACUGGAAUUAAUACCGUAUGUGCCCUACGGGGGAAAGAUUUAUCGGCAAAGGAUCGGCCCGCGUUGGAUUAGCUAGUUGGUGGGGGUAAUGGCCUACCAAGGCGACGAUCCAUAGCUGGUCUGAGAGGAUGAUCAGCCACAUUGGGACUGAGACACGGCCCAAACUCCUACGGGAGGCAGCAGUGGGGAAUAUUGGACAAUGGGCGCAAGCCUGAUCCAGCCAUGCCGCGUGAGUGAUGAAGGCCUUAGGGUUGUAAAGCUCUUUCACCGGAGAAGAUAAUGACGGUAUCCGGAGAAGAAGCCCCGGCUAACUCCGUGCCAGCAGCCGCCGUAAGAC
rnacentral:rRNA from 1 species